AGGUUCAUUCUCUCGCAGCUGAGGACCUUAUACUGGGUCAUCUCCUCCCCACCCCGGCCCCGGUGGCAGGACACCCUCACUGCAUCGAGGUGAGAAGGCAGCUGUCUAUAAACCCAGAAGAGGGAACUCACCAGAACCUGACCAUGCCGGCAUCUUGAUCUUGGACUUCUCGGCCUCCAGAAUUAAGAGAAAUAAAUUUCUGUUGUUUAGACCACUCAA